rnacentral:lncRNA from 1 species
AAAGUUUCAAUGAGAAAAUUGAUUUUGCUUCAUCGGUUACUGGUUGUUCUUAGUCUUCCAUCUUUUUCAUUGUUUUUCUUUGCUGUUUUGUGAGCUUAUGCUCUGUGAAGUUUCAUUUUUCUUUGUUUGCUGCUGCCAUUGUUCUAACAGAUUCUUUCAAAGCUCGCAGAAAUUUAUUUCGCUUCCCAGAUAAAUUUACUAGUUAUCAAUUUGUCAAUGCAUGUCGCUUUAAGCUUCUUUAUUACCGCCAAGGAGUCGCCUUCUACUUCCACAAACCGGAAACCCAUCUCCUGAGUGAAUCUGAUUGCUUAGGUACUUGCUAAGGCCUCUGCAGUUAGAACAUCAAGUAUGUAACGAUUCCAUAAGCAAGUUGUGUCCAUAAUAAAUCCUUCAUUGUUUUUUUAGGAUAAUACAUGUACUUGAUGCUUCUAGAUCCUUGUUGAAGCUUACAUCGAAGUUUACCCGAACAAAAGGCUCCAAAGGAGGUCGCCACCCUAUUGACUCUGUAACUGUUCUCUUGUUAGUGUUUCUAAUUCUCUAGCAUAACCCAAUACAAAGGUAAAAGUCUCAAAACUUGUUUGCUGUUUGCUUUCAUGCACCAACCUAUUCCUUGAGAGCUAAAUUGCCCAAAUUGCUACAAUAAUAAUUAGCUUUUGAUAAUUGCUCCUCCCAUUGAAUAAUUGUCCAACCGACUUACCAAAGAGUGCUCUACUUGGCUUAUCACCCAAUUGAUUCCCAAUUUGUACCAAACCUGUAAGGCUAUUGUGCAAUCUAAGCAUGUUUUUAGACUGCAAAGUAAGGGAAGAAUAGGUCUCUUCGAUUGGGUGCCAUGCUAUCUACCAAUUCAAUUCACAAGCUCAUGAUCUAAAUUUGUAGAGAUUUGAAAAUAUAGUUCGGUUGAUUAAUAAUAUAACAUUUCAUUUUACAUCAUAUUUUACCUUAAAAUGUUACCUUAAAUUUUUCUUAAAAAUUACAUUCGUGAAACUUGAUUUUAAAAUUAAUAUAAAGUAUUUGAUAAAUGCAUUUCACUUUUGUUG